rnacentral:lncRNA from 1 species
AAAAUGAGGUCUGAACGGAGAUACCAAUCACUGCAGAGUUCUGCCAGGUGCACCUUGAACAAUGAUUAUGACUGUGACUGGAGUACUUCAACAUCCCUUUCGCUGACUUCAAGAAGCCCUGCAUCUUCACAAGAUCUACAAUUUCAUUUUGCAAAUGAUUCCCAUGUAUUUGUCUGCACUGCAGGAUUUUCGACAAUUUACCUUUUUUCUCUCUGCCCUCCAUUUCUCUCACCUAUAAAACUGUGACAAU